rnacentral:pre_miRNA from 1 species
GAGGUACUCCCUCCGUUCGGAAUUAUUUGUCGUAGAAAUGAAUGUAUUUAGACGUAUUUUAGUUCUAGAUACAUCCAUUUCCGAGACAAGUAAUUCCGAACGGAGGAAGUAGGUC